rnacentral:lncRNA from 1 species
GCAAUGAAAGCAGUCUGUGUGGAGAGAUUGAAAUGCAUUUCAAAGCCAGGCCUGACUAGGGGGGCACGGAGAACAGACCUAUGAGCUUUCCCUAGGAAGGGAAAAAGUGAAUGGAGAAUGGGAGAGAAGCGGGAGCUGUGGACCGGGUGUUGAAGUUACCGUGGCUCUGUGGACUCAGUCAUCUCCAGUGGGGCCGAAGUUGGACGUCUCGCUGUCCAGGAGACUGAGCAGUCUGAGCUGGGAAAGUUUGGAGCUCCGCGUGAUUGGAAAGAAUGAAGAUUUCUUCUCACUAACCCCUCUUCACCCGUCGGAACCGGAAGGAUGUGUGGAUAGAUGGCUUAAGAACAAAAUGAACUGGAGUUUUUUGAGAGUCCUUUGAGGCCUGCUUGGAUAUUUCCAUCCCUUCCUCCCAAGCCACCACCUCCUUCGGUGGAAUAGAAGCUUGGCUGCCUCAGUAUCCCCAGGAGAGCCAUAGUGACCACAGUAGCUUUCUCUUCAAAAUGACAACUAUCUCAUCUCUUCAGACUAAAUUAACUCCACCCACAGUCAGAAGAAAACUCACAAAAUGGUGGUCAGGAAGAUUGAUCUCUGGAACAUUCACAGGACGACAGGAUGAGAGAAAAAAGGGGAUUGCAGAGGCAAAGCUAGACUAGGUCUUGGAAGCUGGUGUAAGGCGGUGCGCGGAAGGCAGGACGCUGAUGGGAGAGACUGGUCGAAGAAAAGCCGAAAUGGAUUCUCCGUGCCUUGGAUGG